AGAGAUUUAGGUAACACAAACCAAGAGCCUUCAAAGCCCUAAAUAUGAGCAUAAAACUCCUAAUCUCUG
rnacentral:tRNA from 1 species